rnacentral:rRNA from 1 species
CGAACGUUGGCGGCGUGGAUUAGGCAUGCAAGUCGUGCGUGAAAGGAAGCUUCGGCUUCUAAGUAGAGCGGCGAACGGGUGAGUAACGCGUGGGAAAUCUGCCCUCAGGCGGGGGAUAACACUUCUAACGGAGUGCUAAUACCGCAUAACACUUCUUGGUCGCAUGGCCGAGAAGUCAAAGGUGGCCUCUACAUGUAAGCUAGUGCCUGAGGAUGAUCCCGCGUCCGAUUAGCUUGUUGGUGGGGUAACGGCCUACCAAGGCAUCGAUCGGUAGCUGGUCUGAGAGGAUGGUCAGCCACACUGGGACUGAGAUACGGCCCAGACUCCUACGGGAGGCAGCAGUCGAGAGGCUUCGGCAAUGGGGGAAACCCUGACCGAGCGACGCCGCGUGAGGGAUGAAGCCCUUCGGGGUGUAAACCUCUUUUCUAGGGGGAGAACCCUAUGGGAGCGAAUAGGUCUCAUAGCUGACGGUACCCUAGGAAUAAGCUCCGGCUAACUCC